UGAUCAUUGAAUUGUACCCAUCUCUGCCU
rnacentral:piRNA from 1 species